rnacentral:rRNA from 1 species
UAAUACGUAGGUGGCAAGCGUUGUCCGGAAUUAUUGGGCGUAAAGCGCGCGCAGGUGGGAUAAUCAGUCUGAUGUGAAAGUUCGGGGCUUAACCCCGUGAAGCAUUGGAUACUGUUAUUCUUGAGUGCAGGAGAGGAAAGUGGAAUUCCUAGUGUAGCGGUGAAAUGCGUAGAUAUUAGGAGGAACACCAGUGGCGAAGGCGACUUUCUGGACUGUGUCUGACACUGAGGCGCGAAAGCCAGGGUAGUGAACGGGAUUAGAUACCCCGGUAAUCCUGGCCGUAAACGAUGGGUACUAGGUGUUGGGGGUAUCGACCCCUCCAGUGCCGGAGUUAACGCAAUAAGUACCCCGCCUGGGGAGUACGGCCGCAAGGUUG